GGGGAUCACACUUUUUUGACCACCUUCGCCCCCGAUGCCACCUUCUCCUGUUGGCCUCAUCCCACAGCUCAGCAGCAGCCCAGCCCCUCCUCCGUCUCCAUUUCUUUUGUCCCUCUCUCUCUCUCUCUCGGUGUUAAAACGCGGCCGCCGUACGCGCAUUGCCUCCUUCCUUCCGAGCAGUCGCUGGCUUGCUUCGAUUCUUCUCCUUCUCUCCUCUUGCCGGGGCGUUCUUGGAGGGGGGCUGUAGCUAGCCUAGCAGUGUACUUGGAGCUGCUGCCGGUGGAGGUCUGCAAUGGGGAGGAGCGGCCAUGCCUGCUCCGUUCUUGGGUCGCUGCUGCUGCUGCUCCUGCUGCUGGGCCCGGCCGCUGCGCAGAAGGGCUCGACCUGGAAGACGCUGAGUGGCGAUGCUCCAGCAGUCAUAGCUAAGGGUGGUUUCUCGGGCCUAUUUCCCGACUCCAGUGACCCUGCUUAUUCGUUUGCUGCCAGCAAUCAGGAUUCAGCCCAGUGGUGCGAUGUUCGGUUAACCAAGGAUGGCGUUGGCAUCUGCCUUCCAGACAUAAAAAUGGAUAACUGCACAACCAUAUCCGAUCUUUUCCCAAAGGGAAAGAAGACCUACCUUGUCAACGGUGUGUCCACGACGGGGUGGUUCUCUGUGGACUAUAACAGCAUUGACCUGACCAAUGUAACUUUGCUGCGAGCAAUCUUGUCUCGUACUAAUAGGUUUGAUGGAAGCUUCACGCUAGUUCAAGUUGAAGUUGCACUGUCGCAAUAUAAGGCCCCUGCUUGGUUGAAUGUUCAGCAUGACAGUUUCUACAGCCAGUUUAAUCUGAGCAUGAGAAGCUAUAUCCUGUCUAUGUCAAAGCAAUACACGGUUGACUACAUCUCAUCCCCUGAAGUGAGUUUCCUCAAAAGUCUAGUUGGAAGAGUUGGCAGGAAGACAAAGCUUGUGCUCCGUUUUCUUGAUGAAGGCCUUGUCGAGCCAUCUACAAAUCAGACAUAUGGCUCAAUACUGAAAAAUCUAUCAUCCAUCAAGACUUUUGCUUCUGGAAUACUUGUUCCCAAACACUAUAUCUGGCCUGUUACGGCAGAUAAUUAUCUGCAACCCUCUACUUCAGUCGUGGAUGAUGCUCAUAAGGCAGGCUUAGAAAUUUAUGCUGCUGAUUUUGCCAACGACUUUGCACUCAGCUACAACUACAGCUAUGAUCCGUUAGCAGAAUAUCUUGGCUUCAUCGACAAUGGUGCCUUCUGUGUUGAUGGUCUCUUGACUGAUUUCCCUAUCACUCCCUUAGAGGCCAUCGGCUGCUUUAGUAACCUGAACAACACCAAGGCAGAUCAUGGGGCACCUCUAGUUAUCUCCCACAAUGGUGCUAGUGGUGACUACCCUGACUGCACUGACCUAGCUUAUCAAAAGGCAGUUCAAGACGGUGCAGAUGUCAUUGACUGUGAUGUUCAAGUGACAAAAGAUGGCAUACCAAUAUGCAUGAGUUCCAUUGACCUAAUGGAUGUCACUACUGUUGCAUCCUCACAAUUUGCUUCUCAAGCGGGUGUCAUAAGCGACAUUAAGGCUGUUGCUGGAGUCUAUACCUUCAACCUCACUUGGGAGGAUAUUGCAAACAACCUGAAGCCUAUGAUAUCGAACCCAUUUGGCCAGAUUAGCCUAUCAAGAAAUCCCAGAAACAGGAACGCAGGAAAAUUCAUGAGAUUAUCAGACUUUUUGGCUUUUGCAAAAGGAAAAAAAUUGUCAGGAAUCAUGAUUACUGUGGAGCAUGCUUCAUUCAUGGCAGAGAAACUUGGGUUUGGUGUGGUAGAUGCAGUGAUCAAAGCUGUUGAUGACUCUGGUUACAGCAAACAGAGCGCCCAGAAAGUGAUGAUCCAGUCAACAAACAGCUCAACUCUGGUGAAGUUCAAGCAGCUGGCCAAGUAUAACCUUGUGUACAAGAUCGACGAAGUCGUGAAAGACGCGGCACCUUCCUCCCUCGCAGACAUCAAAAAGUUUGCGGACGCUGCUUCUGUCAGCAUCAAGUCCGUUUACCCAGAGUCGAGCAAUUUCCUGAUAAACCAGACGAAUCCUCUCGUCAAGUCCCUGCAGUCUGCUGGCCUUCCAGUCUAUGUGUAUCUGCUCAUGAACGAGUUCUUUUCUCAACCGUAUGACUUCUUCUCAGACGCCACGUCACAGAUCAACGCCCUUGUGCACAAAGGGGGAGAAGGAGGCGGAGUGGAUGGACUCAUCACCGAUUUCCCGGGGACGGCUCACAGAUACAAAUUGAACUCGUGCAGGAACAUGGGGGACAAGACGCCCUACUACAUGCUGCCUCCCCAGCGCGGCGGCCUGGUUGGGGUGAUACAGGAUAAAGCAGCAUUGCCACCAGCAAUGGCCCCAGAGCCGGUGUUGACUGUCUCCGACGUGGCGGAGCCGCCCCUUCCUCCGGUGAGCAACACCACAGCUCCAGCGCCCUCCCACGCCCCCGUCGAGGUCUCCGUCUCGAUCCCGAUCACUGCGGCGGUGCUAGUGCUAUGCGCUUCUCUGCUUAUCUGAGGACCACUAGUCAUUCUUUUUUUGGCCACCCGUUCUAUUCUAUUAUGUAGCGAGCGAUUCAUUUUUCCUUUUGCUUUGGGUCUCAUUUGGGGUGGUGGAUGUUGAGGUUAAAUGAUGAUUCAUGCCUGGAUGGUGGCACUUACUUAUGUCCCUAGUUAAAACAACAUUCUGGUAAAUACGUACUCCUACUCUAUGAUGGUUAAAGAGGAGAAGUGACGCAUUCAGCUCCCAAGAGUCUAGAGUUGCGGUCCCGGACCAGAUUUUGAUGUGGGAACUCAGAGAGAGUACCAGAUCGGACGGCCGUCCGAUUGACAUCUGACGGCGGGAUGCUCUUAUUGCGCUCAUGGCCGCCGGUUGCUUGUGUGGCCACGGCCACAGCCGGUUUGGUUUGUCUCCAAUGAUCCAAUCUCGAAUGUCGUCAGCCUCUACGCCCACGGCCGUGGCGGUGGCGCGGCCGGCGGGGAGGUACGCCGUGUACGUCGCGGCCGUGCCGCUGAGGGCCCCUCAGGGUCCGGCCCAGGCCAUGAUGUCUUCGGCCUACUCGUUGUGUCUGUGGGACCUUCAGCACUUCAUGGUGCUCCUCCGGCCCGACCCUGCCCGAACCCCAACCCGAGCCCAGGAGCAGGAGUCGUUGGUGUUCGAUUUCCAGCCUCGCCACCCGGAGGAUGCUCUCGCCGCCUUCUCCGUGCUCUCGCGGAGCAAAAUACCGGGGGUGGUUCGGAGGAGAAGGCUGCGGAGGAUCCCUGACAGGAGGAGCUGGUUCGUCGGCCUCAGCGACGGCGACGCCGCCGACGCCGCCGAGAGGUUCAGCGAGCGGUGGCCUACCGACCUGGUCGUCGGGAACCACGACUGCCGUGACUACACCAACGGGCUGGUGGAGGUCUUGACAGGACAAAAACGUGUCCUCGACGCGCUGAGAUCAGCAGGUCGCCAAUGAGGCCGCGCCAUCGUGGGGUGGGCCGGACUACUUUCUUCUACCUUUCCUUCUUUCUGUUGCACUAGCGUUGUUUACUGAACCUUGCUCCAGACACGUCUCAAAAUAUUCGUGAUGUACUAAUUUUUAUGUAUACAUAUGCGUAAAUGGUGCCAUAUGGUUGCAAGAGACAGGCUUGGAUGAUUAGGUUAGGUUGAUUCACUCUUCUGUUGCUUGUCCGACGGAGUUCAUCAUGUUUCUUGUGUUACUGUUUUCCAGAGAUAAGUUGCAAUUUCUUUAAGGAGAAAUAAGUUGCCGUUUCACUUUGCACAUGGUUGAUAUAUCAGGAUUCCGACUGCUCUCGCCCAUCUGUGAAUUCUUCUAAUCCUAGACCAAGAAAACAUACUGCCUGCAACUACUUUUUUUGGAAAUGGAGGUAUACCCCCGGCCACUGCAUCAUGAUGAUACAGCUCGCAAACGGAGCAAAACUGCCUGCAACUACUAAUGAAACGCAUCAGCCUUCUCGGACAAAGGUGUGGCAUAAAUAAGAAAUGCACUUUGAGGAAUUCCUCGGCUGGAGCUUGAAGCAAAAGUAGAAAAA
rnacentral:rRNA from 1 species